AUCCUUUUGCAGUUACCUACAUGUGAUGAUUGGGUUUUCACACUCAUGUAUUAGAUAUGCCUCCCUCAAACUUUGUUACAAGGUCAGAACAUUACCCCUGUCUGAUG